GGAGGGAUGGCCGAGUGGUUUAAGGCGCACGCUUGGAAAGCGUGUUUACUUUACUGUAACGAGGGUUCGAAUCCCUCUCCCUCUU
rnacentral:tRNA from 1 species